CCUAAUCUACAAAUAAGAUUGUAGGUGUAUCCAGGUUUAAUUACCUGAUGUGUUUUCACUUUCAUUUCCUCUCUGCUGUUUAGGCAUUUGCAGUCACAGCAACAGGAAGUGUAUAAUAAGACCAGAGAAAGCCGUGGAAGAAUUCUCCCAUCCUCUGAGUUAGUGGAGUAUUGACCACUGAACAAAAUGCCAGACAGAAUGCAGUUCUUCAGAGCUUGGAAAAAGCAUUAUAAUAUUUUCUGUAAUUAUAUUUUUCCUGAGCUUGAUCAUCCAGCCUUCCUUCAUUCCCUGGGCUCGCUGCAUGAAGAAAAACUCAGUUUUGGAGUAAAUGAAGGAAACAACACUCACAAGACAAGACAGAACACAGCAACAGGAUCACCGACUGAUACGUACAUACUCUCCCAGGUUUGGGGGAUGUUUGUUCUUACUAUUCUUGUYGUUGGUUAUGGCCUGUACACUGUAUACCCAUUUUGGUUCUGCUGUAAUGAUGAAGAAGGACAUAGGAGAAACGAGCUGGAGCUCCCAUUAGAGGAAAGACCACAGGAAUUCAGCGAACACCUCUUGGAAUGACCUUGUGUGAGAGGAUGGUGACACAUGUUUGGGUGGGACAUUAAAGCUGGGCUGGAAAAAUACCCUGCUCUCACUGUUCUUUCCAUAGCAUGGCUCUAGUUCAUAAAUUGUCUCCUG
rnacentral:lncRNA from 1 species